rnacentral:rRNA from 1 species
AUGUCCUUGUGCGAGGAGCCAAAAAGCUCUCGUAAGGUUUGGUGCCUGGUCGGAUCGAAUUCCCAUAGAUUGCAAGUCCGGUGUUGGCAAGGCAGGAUCCGGCGAACUAACAUCACCUGGACUACAUUGACAAGUUCAAUGUUCUUGUCUCCCAUAUCUUUAACGUGUGUCUGGAGCACCGACAGUUCAUCGAACGAGGACCAAUUCAGGCCCUUCUUGACCCAUGAUGUAAGCCGCAGGGGGGCACCGGAUCAAAACUCAGGAGUAGCGGCCCAUUCCGUGCCACGCGGCUCAGUGAUGUAA